rnacentral:rRNA from 1 species
AUGUUGGUAUCCCACAGCCAGAGCAAGCUGAUCCUCACAACACGUUACCGAGAAGUAUGCUUUCAGAUGAAUGCACAAAGAAGCUUGAUUGAGAUGCGAAUUUUGGGUAACGAUGCUUCAUGGGAACUGUUCUUGGGCAAGCUGAGCAAGGAGGCUAGUGCAUCAGUUGGAUGGCUUGGUUCCCAGAAUGAUACUAGAGAGCACGCUAUGAAAAUAGCCCAAAGUUGUGGAGGCCUACCACUUGCACUCAAUGUCAUUGGGACCGCUGUGGCAGGCUUGGAAGAGGGAGAGUGGAGAUCAGCUGCGGAUGCAAUUGCUACCAAUAUGAACAAUAUUGAUGGUGUGGAUGAAAUGUUUGGUCAGUUGAAAUACAGCUACAAAAGUCUCACACCCACUCAACAACAGUGUUUCCUAUACUGCACUCUUUUCCCAGAAUAUGGAUCUAUCAGUAAAGAGCAACUUGUUGAUUAUUGGUUAGCCGAAGGUCUGCUAUUAAAUGACUGUGAAAAGGGUUAUCAGAUAAUCCGCAGUCUUGUUUCAGCCUGCUUGUUGCAGGCCAGUGGCUCAAUGUCAACAAAGGUAAAAAUGCACCAUGUAAUUAGGCAACUGGGGCUUUGGUUGGUCAACAAGUCAGAUACAAAGUUUCUUGUUCAACCAGGGAUGGCCUUGGAUAAUGCUCCAUCAGCUGGAGAAUGGAAUGAAGCUACAAGGAUCUCCAUCAUGUCUAAUAACAUCACCGAGGUUUCUUUCUCACCAAACUGCAAAAAUGUCACGACUUUGUUGAUGCAGAACAACCCAAAACUGAACAAAAUGAGUUAUGGAUUUUUCAGGACUAUGUCGUCCUUGAAAGUGCUGGAUCUUUCUCAUACUGCAAUAACAUCACUUCCAGAAUGUGCUACAUUGGUUGCAUUGGAGCAUCUGAAUUUGUCUCACACACACAUUAUGAGAUUACCUGAGUGCCUGUGGUUACUGAAAGAGUUGAAGCAUUUGGAUCUGAGUGUGACUAUUGCACUUGAAGAUGCCCUGAACAACUGCUCAAAGUUGCACAAGUUGAAAGUGCUCAAUCUCUUCCGUAGCCAGUAUGGUAUCCGUCAUGUUGACAACCUAAAUCUGGAUUCUCUGAAGGAACUAGUGUUCCUUGGAAUCACUAUUUAUGCAGAGGAUGUGCUACAGAAAUUGAACAUGCCUCGUCCUUUGGCAAACUCAACACAUCGACUAAACUUGAAGAAUUGUGCAAAGAUGAUAUACAUCAAAAUCUCUGAUCUAAACCACAUGAAGCACCUUGAGGAGUUGUAUGUUGAAUCAUGCUAUGACCUGAACACAGUAGUUGCUGAUGCUGAGCUUACAACUUCACACUUGCUGUUCCUGACCCUGUCAGUUCUUCCCUCAUUGGAAAGUGUCGUUGUUGCACCAAUGCCCCAUAAUUUUCAGUAUAUCCGCAAAUUGUUCAUUUCACAGUGCCCCAAGCUGUUGAACAUCACAUGGGUGCGAAGACUUCGUCUUCUUGAGAGGCUUGCCAUAUCUCAUUGUGAUGGGAUGCUCGAAAUUGUUGAAGACGAUCAUGCUUCAGAUGAACAAGAUCAUGGUAUGGUAGAAACUUCACGCAAUGACACAGGGCAGAGUGACUUCCCAAAGUUGAGAUUGAUCGUAUUGACAGGACUUAAGAAGCUGAGAUGUAUUUGUAAACCAAGAGAAUUCCCAUGCCUUGAGACCCUUCGGGUGGAGGAUUGCCCAAAUCUGAGAAGCAUCCCGCUGAGCUUCACACAUAACUAUGGGAAACUGAAGCAGAUAUGUGGUUCAGUUGAUUGGUGGGAGAAACUGCAGUGGGAAAAUAGGGAGGAGGUGGCAUGUCUGGACAGCAAGUACUUCAUUCCAAUCUGA